CUUGGAUGUUAGUCCAACCCUGCGUACUUUCAUGAGGAUUUCAUAGGGAUUUGGAGGCAGAAGCACAGUCUUUAAGCUCUGGAUGCAUUUCUUUGCUUUCAUUUAUCACCAAUCUGUUUUAUACUAGAUCUUAUCUCAACCACUUCAUUCAUGCGAAAGCCUUUGGAUGCUUAAUAUAAUUUUGUGAAGGUUUCUAAGUCCUUUGGGCUUUGCUUAGGAACAUAGCAAACAAAGUUCUCAGCAUCUCAAAGGGAGGCUUAAAGGGAUAAAAAUAUGAAUUGUAGACAACCAGAGCUUUGCUGAACAUUUCGCUUCUGGGUUUACAGAGCAACUGGUCUAAUACAAAUACUGUUAUUUGGAAGUUACUUUGACCCAUGAUUGCCAUUGACCUAGCUGCAUUAUGCUCAGGGACUUGGGGGUCUGUGCAAUAGGGUGUAAGGAUGAUUUGCAUCACAGCCACCACUCCUGAAAAACAGCUGAAAUAUAUAGCACACACAGGGCCAGGCAGAGCAAAGGAGGAGUGGGCAGAGAAACCUAUGCUUCUGACACUUUCUCAUCUCUCUCUUCCUCACCUGCCCAUCUGUCCUCUAAUUCCAUGAAUUCAGAGAUGUCUGGGAUGAAAGUGAUGGAUGAAAUCAUUGGCCUUGACAGAUACCAUCCAAAGGAGGAUACUGUGGGGCAAUUAAUGGACCAAAACUGUUGAUAUUUCAGAUGUGACCCUUAUACCAGAAAGAUGCAGAGAGAGGCAGUGAGCCUUCCUGAGAUGCUUCAACUUCUAAAAUGUAAUAGUGAAAACUCGGUUAUGGACCAGGGUGGUUCAAGAGCAGCCUGUUUCCAAGCUAAAGUCAUAAUUUUACAGAUGAGGAUAUUGAGACCUGGAGAAUGGAGGAUACUUGGCUCAUGUUCCUGCCAAAGCAGCAGCAGGUCUGGGACUAGAAUCCACUCUCCUGAUGUCUGGUCAUGUCCCCUCUACAGGGUUCUGAUGAAAAGCCUGGCAUUCCAGGUGCCUCCCACUUAAUAUACAUGCGAAAGAGCCAUUGGGCACGUCUGCUCAGUCCUCCCAGCCACACCCUAUUUACUAAGAACAUUACAA
rnacentral:lncRNA from 1 species